GAUGAACGCUGGCGGCGUGCUUAACACAUGCAAGUCGAACGGAAAGGCUCCUGCUUGCAGGGGUACUCGAGUGGCGAACGGGUGAGUAACACGUGGGUGAUCUGCCCUGCACUUCGGGAUAAGCCUGGGAAACUGGGUCUAAUACCGGAUAGGACCACAUUUUGGAUGGUGUGGUGGAAAGUUUUUCGGUGUGGGAUGAGCUCGCGGCCUAUCAGCUUGUUGGUGGGGUAAUGGCCUACCAAGGCGUCGACGGGUAGCCGGCCUGAGAGGGUGUACGGCCACAUUGGGACUGAGAUACGGCCCAGACUCCUACGGGAGGCAGCAGUGGGGAAUAUUGCACAAUGGGCGCAAGCCUGAUGCAGCGACGCCGCGUGGGGGAUGACGGCCUUCGGGUUGUAAACCCCUUUCGCUAGGGACGAAGCGCAAGUGACGGUACCUGGAGAAGAAGCACCGGCUAACUACGUG
rnacentral:rRNA from 1 species